UAUGUACUCCCUCCAUCCCAAAAUUCUUGUCUUAGAUUUAUCUAGAUACAGAUGUAUCCAACACUGAAAUGUGAAUAGAUACAAUCCAUAUGUAGACAAAUCUUAGACAAGAAUUUUAGGAUGGAGGGAGUAUAUA
rfam:Triticum aestivum genome assembly, contig: Triticum_aestivum_CS42_TGACv1_scaffold_393182_5AS